GCUUGCUUUUCAUUUCUGCCUUUCCUAAAGAUGACUUCAUAGUCUGGUUGAGCCAUUAUAACUGUAUUUUCCUUUGUAAGCUUCGUGCAAGUGUGUACUUGUGAGGACUAAAUUUGAACAAAAGUGUUGCAAAAAGAUAUGAUACUGGAAGGCCGGGUGAAUUAAUUAGGAGAAGUGUUGAAUGAAAUGAAAUUUAAGGAAAGCUUGGCAUAAGGCAUGGCGCCAGCCAUAUGUUGUGUGGCGCACGCCACAUGCUUAUUGACAUGUGUGUGUGGCGCCGGCCAUAUGUUGUGAUGCCUGACACAAUUUAUGCUUUUGUCUUUAUAUUGGGUGGUUUAUAGUGUGUUAUUGGGUAUGUGACUCAAAUGGUAUUAAUGCAUGGCGUGUAGUAGUGAAAGAAGGAAUCUUUAUAUAGUCUUGCAGGUCACAUGAGUUUGCAUGUUCAUAAUAAUUAUAAAAAGAGAUGAUACUUGUGCAUGUGACUUGCAGAAAAUUAAGUCUAGCUUGUGGCAUAUAGGGUCAUGUGAGCUGAUAAAUUUUCUUAUUGUGCAGUGUGUAAGAAAUGCUUUUGACUAGACUAAACAAUUAUGUGGAUACUAUAAUUGGAUAUUGACCAUAGCAGCAAACCAGUACGAAAGAUUUAACUAAGUUGAAU
rnacentral:lncRNA from 1 species